AAACUAACUAGGAUUCCCUUAGUAACGGCGAGUGAACCGGGAAAAGCUCAAAUUUGUAAUCUGGCUGUCUUCGAUAGUCCGAGUUGUAAUCUAUAGACGUGUUUUCCGUGCUGGACCGUAUCUAAGUCCCUUGGAACAGGGUAUCAAAGAGGGUGACAAUCCCGUGCUUGAUACGACCACCAGUGCUCUGUGAUACACGCUCUACGAGUCGAGUUGUUUGGGAAUGCAGCUCAAAAUGGGUGGUAAAUUCCAUCUAAAGCUAAAUAUUGGCGAGAGACCGAUAGCGAACAAGUACCGUGAGGGAAAGAUGAAAAGCACUUUGGAAAGAGAGUUAAACAGUACGUGAAAUUGUUGAAAGGGAAACGAUUGAAGUCAGUCGUGUUCUUUGGAUUCAGCUAGUUCUUCUAGUCUACUUCCAUUGAACGGGUCAACAUCAGUUUUGUCCGGUGGAUAAAGAUAGUAGGAAUGUAGCUCCCCCGGGAGUGUUAUAGACUAUUAUUGCAUACACUGGGUGAGACUGAGGACUGCAGCUCGCCUUUUGGCCGGUCUUCGGACACGUUCGAGCUUAGGAUGUUGACAUAAUGGCUUUAAACGAC
rnacentral:rRNA from 2 species